UACGAAGGGGGGCUAGCGUUGUUCGGAAUUACUGGGCGUAAAGCGCACGUAGGCGGAUAUUUAAGUCAGGGGUGAAAUCCCAGAGCUCAACUCUGGAACUGCCUUUGAUACUGGGUAUCUUGAGUUCGAGAGAGGUGAGUGGAACUGCGAGUGUAGAGGUGAAAUUCGUAGAUAUUCGCAAGAACACCAGUGGCGAAGGCGGCUCACUGGCUCGAUACUGACGCUGAGGUGCGAAAGCGUGGGGAGCAAACAGG
rnacentral:rRNA from 1 species